UUUUUUUUUCCUACUCAUUGCAUAUUUUAGGACUUGAAAACAGGGAAAAUGAUUAGCAGUGGUAGAUUGCGAGAUAGCCUAUAUUUUCUAGAUGACGGUUGUAGUUCCUCAAAUCCCGAAGCAAACAAAGCUUUGUUAGGAAGUCUAUAAGUGCUAAUGCGAAGAUUAUCCAGUGACAUAUAAGAUUAGACAUCCAUCUUUUCCUACUUUAA
rnacentral:misc_RNA from 1 species